rnacentral:rRNA from 2 species
UGCAGAAUCCCGUGAACCAUCGAGUCUUUGAACGCAAGUUGCGCCCGAAGCCACUAGGCUGAGGGCACGUCUGCCUGGGUGUCA